CAGCAGCCCAGGCUGCCCAGAGCCACAUCCAGCCUGGCCUCGAAUGCCUGCAGGGAUGGGGCAUCCACAGCCUCCUUGGGCAACCUGUUCAGUGCGUCACCAUCCUCUGGGUGAAAAACUUUCUCCUAAUAUCCAACCUAAACCUCUCCUGUCCCAGUUUAAAACCAUUCCCCCUUGUCCUAUCACUAUCCACCCUCAUAAACAGUCUGAGUCACGUGUAUCUGGAUUUCAUUGCUCCUACCUCCCUUGGGUAAUUUUUGCCACAGUGCUGAUUCAGGCAGACAAGUCCCAGGUCAGUAUUUGGCUCUUUCCUGCUUAAAUCCUGGCCAAAUGCGUGCAGGACUUGAAGUAUGGCAGGGGCUGCUGGCCACAGCCCUGGAGCGGCACUUUAUAACUGAUGUCUUUCAUUCAGGAAGACGAGAUAUUUGUUUAAAGAGGAGCAGCCAUGCUAACGCUUCAAAGUCAAGUGAAUCUCUUCAGUAGGGAGUGGGAAUGUGGCACUGACAGCACCAACGAGCAGCUGAAAGAAUGUGCCCAAACCCACCCAUUCCAGCCCAUGUUUUCCUCUCUCCCGGCUGCAAACCCAAAGACCGGAGUUAGAUUUCCUGCAGAUCUUCAGUUACAGCUCAGAUCUUUGAGUCAGAUUGGAAAGAAGAAAAAAAAAACUGAAAAACUGCUUCAGCGAGCCAAGGGAGAAGGAAAAAUACAGGAGACUCCAACAUAUUAACUGCAGCUAUUGGCUUGCCCCCUCCUCUCCAACUUCAGUUAUUACUGAGAAUCAAGGAAGUUUGAAAUGCACUUUGCACACAGACUCAGCAUAAAUAACGCUGCUUUGCAUUUCAUCAGCCUUAUUUUCCCCAUGGGUUCACUGUCAUCUCUCAUUUAGGCACCACAGGGACGAUCAGCUUCAGAAAGAAGUUGAGAUGAAAGGCACCAAAACGAAAGCAGCUGUGUCAGCGAGCAGUCUGCCUGCAAAUGGACUGAGCAGAUGACCAGGAACUAUUCAGCUGCUUAGACAAAACCUCUGUCUUCCUUUCCAGGACAAUUCCUACCACGGAGCUGGUUAGAUUUGUUAGCGCAAAAUUGAUUAGUCUCAGUUUGCUGCCGUGUCAUUAGAGGAAGGUGAAGGGUGUCUGAAGAUGAACUCAGGUGCUGUUUUGUUUUAUCUGAUAAAGUCUGCCACUGCAAUCAAGGAAUGAGAUUUUCUCACUCUCCUCCAACGUUUGUUUAUGGAUCUGAGACAAAAGCAGAGUCUGGUGCAGGAAGCACAGUGCAAUCUGAGAGCACCUCGGGUAAGGCCAGAUGUGAGAGGAUGCUUGCCUUCUGCUUUAGUUAUUUCUCUCCCACUUGGUGCUGCACACGUUUUAACUCCAUUGUAGCAAUUCACACAUCUUCAGAACAGAGUUUGUCAGAACCAGGAAAUAAGUUCCAUCAAGAGAAAAGCAAACAGGAGGAAACUCCUUUCCUGAGUUCACCCAUCAUCAUAAACGCUUCACACUUUCCUAGACUCAGAGCUCUUUAAGCACAUCAGUGUGAUGGGAAUCUUGCUUGCUGAUGACACGGGGCAUUUCCGCCAUGGACCUGAGCAGCUGCUCACUGAUGGCAGCGUUUUACUGCAGUAUUUCUCAAUAGAAAAAGAAGUGAGGAUGAAUCUGUGGCUCUGAUUCAGUAGGGAACAUGAAGAGCUGUUGAUAACUGCGGUGGAUUGGAUCCGUGCCAUGUGAAUAUGCAUUUGCCAUGAUGCUUCUGUACUGAUACGCUAGAACUACUGGGAUGGAAGAUGGCUUGAUGAAGUCAGACAUCGCGUCAGCAGUGGAGAUGGAAAGGGGCAGAGAACAGAAGGUGCCCCGACAGGGAUGGGAGCCGUACAGGAAGCAUGGUGAGGCUGUGGGGUUGGCUUUGUCCCAGUGGUCUCACUGCUGUUGCUCUGAGAAGGGAGGGAAGCUGAAGGACCUUUACAUCCCUCCCUGCCUGCCAGGGGGAUUACUUGGGCUGAGCCAAUCCAGCCAGAAAGUGGUGGUGCUCACAUACCAAGCCCUCCAGGCUACCUUCAAGAAAAGAAGCCUCUCAGUUUUUUUCCUGAUACAUUUCACUUCUCCCAUAGGCUUUUCCAGGCAUCAUUUCUCUCAUGUACUCGCAAAACCCUGCAGUACUUUACCAUGUGCUGUGGACACGUGUAGCACUUAGAAGACUGAGGGCCUCUCUGUAGGUUUAAAAGGAAGAAAGGGAGAAAGAUGAAACAGAGAGAUGCUCAAGACGUGCAUGUGAACACACACACUCUACUGCACAGCACUUCUGUUCCACCAGCGUUCAGCUGUCUGUUUGCCUUCUUUCUAAUGCUUUAUUGAACCUCCUCUUAACUUUCCCCCUUAACCAACUGGUUGCUGACUCAGCUUCUCACUCUCAGUAUUCCCUUCAGCAAGCACUGUGCUUUAUGGGGAGCAGAACCCCGUUCCGUCCCAAAGGCAACGAGCAGCUUGGCAUUGGAUGAGCACAGGCUGAUUCCUAGAGCUGAUUCCUACUUGUAUGCAAGUCUUCAGGGAAGGCCCUUGGUCACCUGGACCUGUGAGCAACAACUACAUUCAAGUCAGGCUGCCAAGUCUUAGAAUAUUUUUGUUUUCUCCGUUCUGGUGCAAGGGCAUGUUUCUAAUUGCACUCUGUAGUUUUGAAUUCACAGUUUAAGCGAUGAAGGGAAAAUAGAGAUGCAAUGCAAUGGAGAGAUGCACAGCUUUGCCUAAGGCAGACUGCUGCAGAUGGGGAAGAGCUAAGGAGAGAAUAAAAGUGCAGGUAUUAGAGAACUGCCCAAUGAAGAGGUCAAGAAUUCCAGUUCUAAAAGGAAGGAAAGAGAUUUCUUUCUUUCCCACUUCCAAUGAGCUACCCUGCAGAUGAAUCCUGUGCAUUAAUGGUGUAUUAAUGAGAACUGAGGUUUCCUUGGUGUUAUGGGUGGCAUUAUUGGGCUGAAAGCCAUUGCUGACACUGGAGGGAGGAGAGAACAUCAGGUUGUCUCCCAGAAGUGGGACUUUGGUUAUAAGGAGCAGUAUUUGUUCCCACCAGCAGGUCACACCCGACUGUCACUUGGGUGCCACUACGUUGGCCAAGUCAGCUCCUGCAUCUCUGGGAUUCUGGGGAGCUUGCACCUUUAACAUGAAGACGCCCCGGUGCAGUCUGACCAUAUAAAAUGUAAUUAUAUCAUUUCCAAAUUCAGACUGGGGAAGUCUGAAGUGCUUAAUCUCAUACUUUCUUCAUUAAUUGCAAAUUUAAUUUAUAAACAGCUGCAUGAGUUAGAAAUCCCAUCUCCUGUGAUGAAUACAGUCCAAUUAAGGUUAUAAGUAGAAAUAAUUUAUGGAAUGUGUCAAAAGCAAAAAUAGAUUUACAUAGAGCUGUAUUGAUUGAGAUGCGAACUCAUCAAUCUGGAGGAUGUUCUGGACAGUAUUCAAGGAACUUGGAGAUGAAAAAGAUGGGACGACAAAACAGAAAACGGAACAUCUUCAUUUGUAAGGCAACUAAACCAUAUCAGUGAGUCCCAGCUGCUGUAAUAAUUCCCUCCCUUCUCACACAGCUCCGCAAUACUGACAAAUCUAAAUAUGAAGAAGAAAAAUGUCUCUCGAAGGCUGUUAUUUUGCUGCCUGAAUUGUGUCAAGGAAGUGUAAAUAUAAUCACACUUUAUCCUCCAAUCUGAAAUGGAUUUCCGUGGCACAGAUCACAAUGUAGCUUGCCUUGAUUGAUAAUAACUCCCUUGUUACCAUCAGUAAUACAGCGAGGUGGGGAGAAAGCAAAAAGCAGUUCUUGCCAGAAUUGCGACGCAAUUCACUCAAUAUCCUCUAUCUUUAUUUGGCCCUGGAAGGGAAGGUAAGCUCCAAAGGCGUGCUCUGAGACACAAACCAUCCAAAGGAAAUCCCUUCUAGGAUACAGAGGCCCAAGUGACAUCAUUUGACAAACAGUGCCGCAUUAUCUCUCUUUGAGUGAUCUGUAAGAAGCUUACAGUUUGCUUGGACUUGUUAUGUGUAAGCUAAUUCAGGCUGAUCCCUCUUGGUGCCUUCUCCAGCAGUCAGCAGCAGGUUGCUACACGACUUUUGCUCCUUCUGGUCCAUGGCUGACUAUAAACACCCAUGGUCUUCCACCCCUGCCUGCUGCAACAGUGCUCCUAGGAUGGAAGUGACUGAGAGGUCCUUCUGCACCUGGCUGGGCCAGCUGCAUGCUUCGCUGCUUGCCAUGCUGCUCCGGUUUGGCCUCUCAGUUGAUUUACUUGGCAUCCAUGAACAGUGUGUCUGAUAGCUUAGGAAAAGGAUGAAGGGAGGACUAGAAAGAGCUGGUGUUCUUUCUAGUCUUGUCCGGGAUCUUCUAUGCGUGGCCAUAUCCUUUUAUUCCUGAGUGCUUUGUCUCUUGGGUAGCAGCAGAACUGGCUUUUCCAAAGAAGAGUUGCACGUUAGCAGUCUAGGGACUUGGAGAGGAAAAAAGAAGGAAGGUGCUAGUGUCCCUAGCCUCCCAGCAGCUGGGCUUCACCUGGCUGUGCCAGUGUUACAAGCUAUAUAAGGCACUCUCCCAAGGAGAAAUCCACCUGAGUUGCUGCAGGAGAGCAGAUACAAGUAGGUUCCCUUCCCUCUGCAACACAACGCCAUAAAUAGGGUCAGGAUUUGAUGAAGAAAUGGCUUUGAUGAAGAUAUUGGUACAUUUGUGGCUUUCAGAGACUUACGUGUGCCCAUACAGUGCCUUUAUAGAUGAGAUCCAGACGAGAGCUCUCUCCCAGUUUUCUCUCAUCCCAGAAAAUCAAUCCCAAACCUGUUCACCUGACCAAGCAAGCUAAUUUCACCUUGAACUGGCUGCUCCAUCCAUUUCCUCUCCCUUCCCCAAGCGUGGCUGUGCAGUAACUGGCAGAGCUGUACGAGGGAGCGCAGUGUGUCUGAGGCUCUCCAGCUUGGUAACCAGCCAAAAAUGAUGCAUGUGGAGACCCCCCUCCACAGCUGUAUCCUUUUCAAAGUGAUGUUUGUAGCAGAGAGCUACAAAAGUGCUAUUAUGUUGUCUUGAGUGGCUAUGCGGGUUGCAUUCUAAGCAGAGCAGGGAUUAAAUUUUGCCAUCACUGCCCAUGAGCAAUUUGCCAUUGUGCAGCAAGCAGCUUUCAGAGCAGGUUAUUAUUGCUGUCUGCGCUGUACCAUUCUUAUUAUAUGAAACCUGAAACAGGACUCCCAACCUUGGAAGGAAGAAGAUAAUCCCUUUUCCUCUAUUGUUGGCAAGACCGUCUUAGAAGGCAGAGAAAUGCAGCCCCCCCUUCUCCUCCCUUAAUGAUUCUGUGCUUUUCUCCUUAGUGUUGUUUCUGUGUUUGCUCCUGCUGCAUUUCAAAUAACGCUGGGACUGAUACGGCUGUUCCCACUGAAUGGUUCCAGCUGAUGUAAGGCCAUGUCCUGCCCAGCGAUCUCUCUCCGUGCCCAAAUGAGGAAUGACAGCCCACUUCUGGGGACGAGGAGUUAAGUGUGAUUCGAUGAUGUCUCACAACGCCUUGAUGAUGAAGAAGAUGUGAAUGAUUACAGCUCAUAGAGAUCUCACAGCUGGGGAAGAGAAUAUUGUUUGUUAGAGGGAUUGCUGUGAAACCAUUCCAUGCAAGCUGCCUUUCUGCCCUGAAUAGCAGGAAGACCCCUCUAUUUCUAACCAAGGAAAGAUCUGCCUUCCCUAUAGCAUACAUCUUUUCUCUGCCUUGCUGUAGUGACUGAUUCUGGAACACCUUUAGGGUGCAACGAGGAUGAAGGGCAAUGCAUUGCAUACUGGUCUGCCCUUCAAAUAAUGGUGUGGCUUUUUGAAAAUGUGAUGGUUUAAAAAAGCAAAAAGAGGAGGAAACCUUUUCUGAUUAAAACUGACCAUAUAUAGACAGAAAAUACCAUAAAAUCAUCAAUGGAAAAGUCAGUGUUUUCUCAAGGAAAAGUAAGAAUUAGAUAUAGGAUUUUCUUUUGUUCUUCUUUGUCUUGAUGCUGACACUCUAAGAUGUCAGCUCCAAUGCUGUGUGCCUGGAAGAGUCUGUUCUUAUUCUUGGGAAAGCCUUGUUUUGCAGGCUCGUGUGUCUGUAGUUCAAGUAAUGAAGAUCACUUUUACACAUCAAUUACAACACGGAAAUGAGUUCCAUGACAGGCGCACCAAAUACGGAGCAUCUUCAAACAGCAGGAGGUGCUUUGGGCGUUGGGAUGGAGAGAAAAUGGAUGGAUGUGACUGCUGUCCAUGCAGGUACCACUUGGAAAAACUGUACAGGAACAGCUUAGCAAGUGAUCUCUUCACCACGGUCUGCUUGGUGUGUCUGUUUAAUCUGAAUGGUGACGGAGGGUUGGAAAGGCAGAAGAGGAUGAACUUCCACUUCCAAAUGGUCAACAACAGAAAUGAGAGAUCUGUACAUGGAGACAACUAGCACAGGUUACCCAAAGGCUGGAUUAAAAAGCAAAGACAAAAGCUCAUCAUGCAUAUCUACGCAGUGGCAAACCAUCUGCGAGCAGCCAGGAUUUAUUGUUUCACUGAUUCCUGGAACUGAAAAUAUUAACGACGUAAAAUAUUGAUUUGAGAAAACAAACCAAAGUUGUUUGGUGAGCCCCUCAUUCGGGCGCGAUGCUGAGAUGUCCAUCCAUUCCGUUUGUAUUUAUUGACGAAAUUGGAUAUUUUCCAGCCUCCAGCCCUAUGGACAGCUUCGUAGAUCAGCUCAUAGAAAUUCCAGCUCUGUCUUUGCAAAACGCUGCACAGGGAUCCAUUUUUCCCCAGCAUAUUCCUCCUCCAGGCUUGCAGGAAGCUGGAAAGAGUGGGGAAGCGUGCAUUAUGUGCUACACGGAGCACCAAGCAUGAAAAAUACGCAGCCUAAGCUGAGUAACCUUAUUUCUUCUGAUUUCGUGUGAUCAGGAGGUGCCGUGCUUCCAAUUCAGGAGUAAAUUAGAGCCUGCUUUUCUUUGCCUAUUAAGAAUAACGGUGUGGACAAACACUGCUCCUGAUUUACUCUGUCAGAUCAUGCCCAAGUGGAAGAAGAGCCCUCCUGCACCAUAGCUUUGGGAGCAUCACAGUGGGAUGCAGUGCAGUCACGGGGAACACCAAAAAACCCACUUGUAUGAAGACAUCAGUGACUGGGAGCCUGCAUGACACAUACUCCUGUAGCCACAAGCACACACUGCCAGCCCCCAGGAGGUGACCCCAUCCACCCCCUGUGCCCCUGGAGCAGUUCAUUACAGUGCCCAGCUUUUCUAAGUGAGAUUUAUGGCUUGCCUGGGGAUAAUCAUUGCAAGGAAAAAGAUCAAUGAUAUGCAAGUCAGUGGGAAAAGCAGCAAGUUCCAAUCGCUGCCUCGUUGGAAGGCAUCAAACAUCUUCAUAAACUAUUUAAAGGUAGAAAUGAUCAUUAACCUUUGCUGUAGCCCAUUGCACACAGAGCAGUCAGUGCCGUUUAGGAUGACACACGGCUCAGCUGUGCAUGUCAGUGCUCUCAGGUCAUCUGCCCACCAGCUCUGUAUUGGAGGAGGUUUUGGAUGGGCAAGCCAAACAAAGCAGAGCUCGUUGCUCACUCUUCAGCCUUGCUUUGCAUCGACUCGCCGCUGCAUCACUUUACAGCCACCUCAAAUUAACAGCCGUGGUUAUUUUCCUUAGUCAUUAUUAUCCUUAAUAUGGCACGAAAGCACUUCAUUUUUCCUAUGGGACAAACCAUGACCCAGAUUCUCGUGUGCAGAGAUGGGAGAGGAGCAGCUCACCCGGGCUCAGCCUCUUUCUUUGAAAGCACAUUGAGGUGACAUCAGUGUCCCUGUGGUCCCACACCGCAUCCCUCUGCUGUGAGGACUCAUAGCACUCACUGCUAUGUUCUGAGUGGGAGAUGGUGUUGACAAUUCCAAUCCCACCUCCUUUCCUCCCGGCCUCUCUGAUGCUGGAUCAAUGACAUUUUUCUGAAGCUGCCUACAUUUGGUGUUUUACUGCCAACUGCAUGUGGCCCUCUCAUUUUAAUUACUUCUGCUGUGUCUAGCACUAUAUGCUCUAUAAUGUUUCAGAGGCUGCUUGCAAUUAAAAUAAAAAAUAAGUAAUACAUUACAGGUUACAACCCAGUCAAUCUCCAUGCAUUGUAAUUCACAGCAGCUUUAUAUGCUGAGCUUUCCAAGUGGCUUAUAGCCCACAUAAUAACAACAAAACCCUGAGCCACAGGAAAAGCAAGGCAGAGAUAUUGUCUUUCUGAGUACCUUUCCUGGUGGGUGCUUUAUUUUUCCAGUUCCUUUGCUCUUGAAAGAAAAUGUUGACAUACUUAACUUCCCAUCUCCUGGUUUCCAGGGGACUCAAUGCAAUCAGGCUCCUUGCUGGGGAGGGGCUAUGCUUAUACCCUGUUGUGCAUUAGUGAUGUCUGGGGCCAACUCCCACCUUGCUGUAACCUCCUUUCAUGUCAUUGUGGAGAGCAAUGAGGUCUCCCCUGAGCCUCCUCUUCUCCAGGCUGAACUAUCCCAGUUCCCUCAGCCACUCUCUAUGAGACUAAAAGGGCUGGGAGGAAAUAAGCACAUAUAGAUUAGAGUAUUUUGGCUUCAUGUCAACAAAACACAUAAGCAUGCGCUUAACUUUACGCACUACCACGGUUCUACCCAUGAAAAACACGGACAAAAUGUCCUCCUGUUCUCCUGCUGGGUAAUUCUAACAAUUAUUUCUCAUUGGUUUUUAUUUUUCAGUCCUCCUUUCUCCCCACAAACUCUUUCAGCCUAUCUCAGAGAACGUGGAAAAGCCUAAAUGAAACAACUCAUGCAGGGAAGCACAAGGGGGAUUUUUGUUUAGAAAUCCUAGCAGCAGAUUUCCAUUAUUAUAAAUACAGGCUGAAUUCACUGGUGACAAUAUACAACAUUUAAUUUACAUGUAAAGUGACAAAUUAAAAUCUGAAAUUCCCUGCUUUGUUCUCUGAAAGAAAUGUAACACGACAAGCUCUGAAAGGUGCUCAGCUCUGCCCCGGCAGCACUGCAGGUCUGUGGCUUCAUGUGAUGUGAUGGAGCCCUUAGCAGUGUCAGAAACACCUCAACCCAAUCAUCCAAAGGUGUUUGGGUGCUCAAGUCUCAUCCCAGUUGGGUGUUUUGAGAGUAGAUCCCAGGAGCUGGGUUGAAAUGCAUGCGGGGAGCUGCUGAUUUGAGCACAUUUUGGGCCAGGGGUUGUGUUUACAUCUUAUCACUUCUGUCCUUGCUCCAUUUGUGUCUUGCUGCUUCUGUAAAGCUGCUCCAUCCUUAGCCCAUCCUUGCAGCCUUUCUUGGUGUCUUUUCCAGUUCUAUUGCAGACGGUGCUGACGAGUGGCAGUAUCUGUGUUUUGCAAUAGUGACUCUCAUACACGAGGUGUGGUGGGCAGUGUGUUGGAAGCAAUCUGCUGGCAGUGUGCUGGUGUGGACUUCUCAGCCUGGUCGUAGAAGCUUCCCUGGCCAUCAGCUCCAUGGUCCAUUAUCUCCUUCCCUGCUGACCACCUGAUUACUGCAGCCUUACAAAUCCUCUCCUGCCGCACUUGAAACGUGGCCAAAACAUGGGUAAUACCUACACCUGCCCUCACCUCAUUUCACUUCUAUGCUUUCCAGCAGUGGGGAUAGACAUGAAAAUGCCCCAUCGCUGCUGCGGCACUUUGCUUUUGACUGCAGCAGGUCCAGGGCACAGAUAGGUGCCACUGUUCAUUUGUUACAGCAGCAAACAACAUCAGCCCGGCUGACACUUGCCUCAGUGAGUGCUUUCCUCUGUAGGAAUUCACAAAACAAUUGCUUAAUCUUUUCUGACACUCUUUAGGUGUUUAAACAACAAAAAAAACCUACCAGCUUAUUCCCAUUCCCUGACACGGUGAUGUAGAGACCUGGAGAAUUAAACUGCUGAUGAGCUCCUUUGUUUUAAAUGAUUGCAGUAGGACAUAAAGGAGAGUGGUUUUAACUAGGCUAAGUGAAACAUAAGUUUUCUGAAGGAUACUGAUGUCUCUUUUCAAGAGGCAUCACUAACAGUUGUCUGCUGAGGCAAGCUUGGAUGGAAACACCAGGGCUCUCUGUUGAGCUGGAAUCUGAUUUCUGGGGGUGAACUCCUGCUUCGUAUCCCACUGCAGUCAGCGGGAGAUCUCCCCAUGACAUGGGAUGGGAUGGGGUGUCCUGAACAUCUCCCUGGAGCAGGAAGAGCUGAGAGAGCUCAGCUCUGCAGCCACGGGGCCUCCCGGGUCAGGUCAGCCCCAAAAGAGAGCCCAUGGAGUGCAGAUGUGCAGCUGCACAUCUUGGUGUACCCGGUUCCCCUAUCAACAGAGCCGCACAAAUUGUGCUCAGACCAACCCUACCCAAUUUCUCAGUGCAGUGGUAACAACCAGAGGCAGCUUGCACACAGGAGUGCACACACUGCAUGGCCAACUUCAGAGCAAGAAGAGGUGGGUAGGAAACACACCAGCUAUCUGCUGGCCUCAGUGCUAAGCUCUGUUCAAAUUUACAACCCCAGGCUUCUGCUAAUGAACCAAAUACUCCUCCUUGGGACCAUAUGUUGUGCCAUGCUCCCACUGCAGCCAUCCCGAGUGGCAAAUAUAGUGUUGGUUCGUUUUGUUCUGUUUCAUUCCUGCCGAUCCCAAAUGCCAGCACCAGGUACAGAGAAUGCUGCAGGGAGGAAAAUAAAAGAUGCUUUGUGCACAGUGCCCAGCCUGGGAGUGUUUUUCCAAAGGAGGCAGGUGGGAAGGG
rnacentral:lncRNA from 1 species